CGGCCAGUGAGUGCGUGGGCCAGUGAAGGAGUGGCAAUUUGAGGCUUUGACUUGAGAGGCUUCAAUGAGAAGAGGCAGCGGACGAGCUUCACUCCAAGUGAGCUUUCCAAUCUUCAAGCAGACUGAAUAGGCCAAAUUGCCCAACUCUGCUCCUACUUCUGUGGAAAGUGGCCAGUAAAGGAGUGGAGAUUUGAGGCUUUGACUCGAGAGGCUUCGACAAGAAGAGACGGCAGACGAGCUUCACUCCAAGUGUGGUAAGGCCAGGUAAGUUCCUUUCAAAGGAGAAAGUUUCAAAAGUUGAGGCAAGUAUUGGGUAGGUCAUGGCAGCUGAGAUCGGCCCCAUGGUUUGUUCAUUCUGCAGCACGUGGGAAAUCAGUGAUACUUCCAGUGUCCCUGACGACUACGUGUGCAGGAAGUGUGCCCAACUGCAGCUUCUGGCAGACUGCUUUGAGCGUCUGGAGCUGCGAUUGGAUUCAUACAGGAGCAUCCGCGAUGCUGAGAAAGUCGUGAAUAGCACUUUCAGUGAGUUGGCCACACCACAGGUAAAGGCUACACGGGCAGAAAGGGAAGGGGUGGCCACUAGACAGCGUAGCAGUAGGCAGGUAGUGCAAGAGUCCUCUGAGGUCAUCUCCCUCCUGAACAGAUAUACUGUUUUGGGUACUGUUGGGGGAGAUGUCUCAACAGGGGAAGGCAGCAGCAGCCGAGUUCAUUGCACCAUGGGUGGCUCUGCGGCACAGGAGGGAAGGAAGAGGAGUGGGAGAGCUAUAGUGAUAAGGGAUUCGAUUGUAAGGGGAAUAGAUAGGCGUUUCUGCGGCCGCAAACGAGACUCGAGGAUGGUAUGUUGCCUCCUUGGUGCAAGGGUCAAGGAUGUCUCUGAGCGGCUGCGGGACAUUCUGGAAUGGGAGGGUGAACAGCCAGUGGUCGUGGUGCACAUAGCUACCAACGAUUUAGGUAAAAAAUGGAAUGAGGUCCUACAAGGUGAAUUUAGGGAGUUAGGAAAUAAACUAAAAAGUAGGACCACAACAGUAAUAAUCUCUGGAUUACUACCAGUGCCACAUGUUAGUCAGAGUAGAAAUAGGAGGAUACUUCAGAUGAAUAUGUGGCUUGAAAAAUGGUGCAAGGGGGAGGGAUUCAAAUUUCUGGGGCAUUGGGGAGGUGGGACCGGUAUAAACAGGACGGUCUGCACCUGGGCUGGACUGGAACCAAUGUCCUAGGGGGAGCAUUUGCCACUGCUGUUCAGGAGGCUUUAAACUAAUGUGGCAGGGGAUGGGAACAAGUGCAGAGAGACAGAGGGGUGUAAAAUGAGGGUAGAAGCAAAAAGUAGUAAGGUGAAAAGUAAAAGUGGCAGGCAGGCAAAUCCAGGGCAAAAAGCAAAAAGAGCCACUUUUCAACAUAAUUGUAUAAGGGCUAAGAGUGUUGUAAAAACAAGCCUGAAGGCUUUGUGUGUCAAUGCGAGGAGCAUUCGUAACAAGGUGGAUGAAUUGAAUGUGCAGAUAGUUAUUAAUGAAUAUGAUAUAGUUGGGAUCACAGUGACAUGGCUCCAGGGUGACCAAGGAUGGGAGCUCAACAUCCAGGGAUAUUCAAUAUUCUGGAGGGAUAGACAGGAAAGAAAAGGAGGUGGGGUAGCAUUACUGGUUAGAGAGGAGAUUAACGCAAUAGAAAGGAAGGACGUUAGCCUGGAGGAUGUGGAAUCGAUUCAGAAACAAAGGUUCUGAAUUUAAAGAAGGGUAACUUUGAAGGUAUGAGACGUGAAUUAGCUAAGAUAGACUGGCAAAUGAUACUUCAAGGGUUGAUGGUGGAUAUGCAAUGGCAAGCAUUUAAAGAUCGCAUGGAUGAACUACAACAAUUGUUCAUCCCAGUUUGGCAAAAGAAUAAACCAGGGAAGGUAGCGCACCCAUGGCUGACAAGGGAAAUUAGGGAUAGUAUCAAAUCCAAAGAAGAAACAUAUAAAUUAACAAAAAAAAGUGGCACACCUGAGGACUGGGAGAAAUUCAGAGACCAGCAGAGGAGGACAAAGGGCUUAAUUAGGAAAGGGAAAAAAGAUUAAGAGAGAAAGCUGGCAGGGAACAUAAAAACUGUCUGUAAAAGCUUUUAUAGAUACGUGAAAAGAAAAAGAUUGGUCAAGACAAAUGUAGGUCCUUUACAGUCAGAAACAGGUGAAUUGAUCAUAGGGAACAAAGACAUGGCAGACCAAUUGAAUAACUACUUUGGUUCUGUCUUCACUAAGGAGGACAUAAAUAGUCUUCCGGAAAUAGUAAGGGACCGAGGGUCUAGUGAGAUGGAGGAACUGAGGGAAAUACAUGUUAGUAGGGAAGUGGUGUUAGGUAAAUUGAAGGGAUUAAAGGCAGAUAAAUCCCCAGGGCCAGAUGGUCUGCAUCCCAGAGUGCUUAAGGAAGUAGCCCAAGAAAUAGUGGAUGCAUUAGUGAUAAUUUUUCAAAACUCCUUAGAUUCUGGAUUAGUUCCUGAGGAUUGGAGGGUGGCUAAUGUAACCCCACUUUUUAAAAAAGGAGGGAGAGAGAAACCGGGGAAUUAUAGACUGGUUAGUGUGACAUCGGUGGUGGGGAAAAUGCUAGAGUUGGUUAUCAAAGAUGUGAAAACAGCACAUUUGGAAAGAGGUGAAAUCAUCGGACAAAGUCAGCAUGGAUUUGUGAAAGGAAAAUCCUGUCUGACGAAUCUUAUAGAAUUUUUUAAAGAUGUAACUAGUAGUGGAUAGGGGAGAGCCAGUGGAUGUGGUAUAUUUAGAUUUUCAAAAGGCUUUUGACAAGGUCCCACACAGGAGAUUAGUGUGCAAACUUAAAGCACACGGUAUUGGGGGUAUGGUAUUGAUGUGGAUAGAGAAUUGUUUGGCAGACAGGAAGCAAAGAGUGGGAGUAAAUGGGACCUUUUCAGAAUGGCAGGCGGUGACUAGUGGGGUACCGCAAGGCUCAGUGCUGGGACCCCAGUUGUCUACAAUAUAUAUUAAUGAUUUUGACGAGGGAAUUAAAUGCAGCAUCUCCAAAUUUGUGGAUGACACGAAGCUGGGCGGCGGUGUUAGCUGUGGGGAGGAUGCUAAGAGGACGCAGGGUGACUUGGAUAGGUUAGGAGAUUGGGCAAAUUCAUGGCAGAUGCAAUUUAAUGUGGAUAAAUGUGAGGUUAUCCACUUUGGUUGCAAGAAUAGGAAAACAGAUUAUUAUCUGAAUGGUGGCCGAUUAGGAAAAGGGGAGAUGUAAUGAGACCUGGGUGUCAUUGUACACCAGUCAUUGAAGGUGGGCAUGCAGGUACAGCAGGCGGUGAAAAUGGCAAAUGGUAUGUUGGCAUUCAUAGCAAAAGGAUUUGAAUGCAGGAGCAGGGAGGUUCUACUGCAGUUGUACAAGGCCUUGGUGAGACUGCACCUAGAAUAUUGAGUGCAGUUUUGGUCCCCUAAUCUGAGGAAAGACAUUCUUGCCAUAGAGGGAGUACAGAGAAGGUUCACCAGAUUGAUUCCUGGGAUGGCAGGACUUUCAUAUGAAGAAAGACUGGAUCGACUGGGCUUAUACUUACUGGAAUUUAGAAGAUUGAGGGGGGAUCUUAUUGAAACGUAUAAAAUUCUAAAGGGAUUGGACAGGCUAGAUGCAGGAAGAUUGUUUCUGAUGUUGGGGAAGUCCAGAAUGAGGGGGCCACAGUUGAAGGAUAAAGGGGAAGCCUUUUAGGACCAAGAUGAGGAAAAACUUCUUCACACAGAGAGAGGUGAAUCUGUGGAAUUCUCUGCCACAGGAAACAGUUAAGGCCGGUUCAUUGGCUAUAUUUAAGAGGAAGUUCGAUAUGGCCCUCGAGGCUAAAGGGAUCGGGGGUAUGGAGAGAAAGCAAGUACAGGGUUCUGAGUUGGAUGAUCAGCCAUGAUCAUAUUGAAUGAUGGUGCAGGCUCGAUGGGCCAAAUAGCCUACUCCUGCACCUAUUUUCUAUGUUUCUAAUGUUUCAUCGUUAAGAAAUCUUUGUUGCUCUGAAGAGCACAAAUAUUUUGAAACAGUGACAGGAACACAUGGACAGAUAAACUGGACUGGUGGAAACAGAAAUCUUGGUCCCCUCAUUCUUAUCCAACUUCCCAGUCAUCUUAAAAAUGUAUGUGGCCCCUCACUUACCCAAGAUUACCACCGAACCACUGCCUUCAGAACACACAAUCUCCAACUCAGGUACCACCUGCCACAGUGUACGUUGUCCACCAGGUAGCACCUCACCAAGACCAGGCAACAGCGUCUGAACUCCACACAAAAUGCUGGAGGAACUCAGCAGGUCAGGCAGCAUCUAUUGAAAUGAAUAAACAGCUGACAUUUCAGGCCCAGACCCUUCGUCAGAACUGGAAAGGAAGGGGAUGAAGGAGUAAGAAAUUGAUGUUUGUGCCAUCAGGUUGAAGGCUACUGCACAAAAUAUGAGGUGAUGCUCCUCCAACCUGAGAGAGGCCUCAUCGCAGCAGAAGAGGAGGCCAAUCCCAUUCCAAUAUGUAGGAAUGGGAAUGAGGAUAGGAGUUAAAAUGGUCGGCCACCAGGAAAUUCUGCUUUUUGCAGAUGGAGCAGAGGUGCUCGAUAAAGUGGUCCCUCAAAAUACACAGUGGUCUCGCCAAUGUAGAGGAGGCUGCACUGGGAGCACUGGAGAGUGUAGAUGACCCAAAAUGAUUCACAGGUGUUGCCUCAUCUGGAAGGACUGUCUGGGGCCUUGAAUGGAGUUGAGGGAUGUGGUGAAUGGGCAGGUGUAGCAUUACUGCUGUUUGCAGGGAUAAGUGCCAGGAGGGACAAAGGAAUGCCGGAGAGAGCGAUCCCUGUGGAAAAUGGAGAGUGGGAGAGGUUAAGAUAUGUCUAGUGGUAAGGUCCUGUUGAAGAUGCAGAAGUUGCAGAGACUGAUGUGUUAGAUGCGGAGGCAAACAAUGCAGCCUGGAAGAAAAGGGCACGUAGUAACACAACCAUUUUCAGGUUCUCCUUCAAAUCACAUACCAUUGACACUUAACUAUACAUUACCAAUCCCUCAUUGUUGCUGAGAGCACCUGAUCACAUGAAGAUGGCCUACCACUCCUUUCAGAAGAGUCGUUAAGGAUGGUCACUUGACGUUGGUCUUUCUGGCAAUUACCACAGUCCAAGAUCAAUAAAAUGUCUGAAGCCCAGCCCAGUUUCAAUCAGCUUGCAGGAAUACCUGAGAAAUGACCCAGUUAUUUGGGGCACAAACCUUUUCAACGUAUUUUGGACACACAUGUUGGUCUUGAAAUUAACCUGAGUUGAAUGCAAUUAUGAUUAAUACCAAUUUUACAGCAUAUUAUUUCAAACUGUUGUUCCUCGCCAUGUCUCAUGGUGCAUUGGCUGUUUCUCUCACAUUUGUCUCUUUUACGAGGUUGAGUCACUAGCUCAAUGCUCAACUCAGCAGGGAUGGAAAUUAUCAAAGAGCCAGUCAGACUCAACCACUCACCUUAAAGUCUGGUGCGGAUGCCACUGCAUAACCAGCCAAUCAUGUUUCACGUGCUAAAGAAGAAUUUCAAUGGCCCAGCAACAUUAUGAGUGCAGUGAUAAACAGCUUUAUCUUCACUUCACAAGAAGGGCUUAUUUAUAAUGCAGCUACGAUGCAUGGCUUCAGAUGACACCUUCAUGAAUUUCGUGUUGAACCAGAAGAAUGAUAUAAAGAGCUGUAACAGCAGCAGAAUUACAAGCCUGAACAGUGUGGUUGAAUCUGGAGGUAGCAUCUACAGGGUUAAAUGCUGGUGGCUAGCAGACCUUGUACGGGAUCAAAACAUUGGUGUGUACUGAAGCUUACACAGGAAAACUCAACAAUACUGCUCUGGAAACAUCACACACAAAGUGUUUCUGAGUUACCGACAAUGCCGUUGAAAUGUAGUAAAGCAGUUUCCAAGCUACGCGAUCGAGGUAUAUGAAGAUUC